rnacentral:rRNA from 1 species
UACGUAGGGUGCAGGCGUUAAUCGGAAUUACUGGGCGUAAAGCGUGCGCAGGCGGUCUUUUAAGUCAGAUGUGAAAUCCCCGGGCUUAACCUGGGAACUGCGUUUGAAACUGGAAGGCUAGAGUGUGGCAGAGGGGGGUGGAAUUCCCGGUGUAGUGGUGGAAUGCGUAGAUAUCGGGAGGAACACCAGUGGCGAAGGCGGUUGCCUGGGGCUUUGCUGACGCUGAGGCGCGAAAGCGUGGGGAGCGAUCCGG